UGGCCUAUGGUGGAAUUGUCAGGACGACUGAUUCUGGUUCGGUUAGUCUUGGUUCGAGUCCAGGUAGGCCAC
rnacentral:tRNA from 2 species